UACGUAGGGGGCAAGCGUUGUCCGGAAUCAUUGGGCGUAAAGCGCGUGUAGGCGGCUCGAUAAGUCUGCUGUGAAAGUCCAGGGCUCAACCCUGGAAAGCCGGUGGAAACUGUCGAGCUAGAGUCCGGAAGAGGCGAGUGGAAUUCCUGGUGUAGCGGUGAAAUGCGCAGAUAUCAGGAAGAACACCUAUGGCGAAGGCAGCUCUCUGGGACGGUACUGACGCUGAGACGCGAAAGCGUGGGGAGCGAACAGG
rnacentral:rRNA from 1 species